ensembl:lncRNA
CAGGAUCGCGUUUCUGACGUUAUUGUACAUGUUCAAACUGUUGCUGUUCAAACUGACAAAAGGUGGAGCUCAAUAACUAAUGUACUGAAGGGAGAGCAAAGAUCAACGGUCAAAUGGAUUAGAUGGUUUAUCACCAGGUUUGGGGGGGUUCAAUUCACUCUAAUUCUGUCCAUUCAGCAAAUGUAUCGAGAAUCACUCCAUCAGGAUCUAAUGGAGAAUUUCCCAAUCCAUUUUAGCCAAGAGAGGCGUGCAGCAUGCAAACCCAGUGAUGCUACUGGUCCCUCAUCUACAGUUGUGACACAGGCACUCGAGCAAGAAUUGAAAAGGCAGGCUCAUUAUGCACCCACUGCAGGCCUUUCAUAUUACAUUGCAAAGGACAUGAUGCCAUUUCAAAUGGUUGAGGCCUGGCUUUCUGAGGCUGAUGAAGGUUGCCGUGCCUCAUAUAAACAAG